CAGCCGGCGGCGGCGUGCCACGCGAGACUUGGGCGAUUCCCGGAUUCGCAUGCACAGAACGGAUAUAUAUAUACACACACACACACACACACACAAACAAGGAAACGGAUUUCAAGAAAACACGCCUAAACAGACGCCAACUACAUCGUUCUUCACCAAAUUCGUUCGUACUGGAUAUAUUUAACUUGUUUGACCUUUAACGGAAACUGCCACUUUUGUUCUUCAAGAGAGAAAAUAUCCUUUGCUUCCUCUUGUGAAAAUUCUCAGGUUUCUUCUGGACUCUGAAAUUUUUGUGUGCAAGAAGGCUAUAAACCAAGUUGGCUGUACCAGUUGUCAUAGAUUGCAUUAGUUAUACAAUCGCGAUGAUUAUGUAUGACCAAGAUCCUGAUGUUGUUCGAUGGGGUCUCGAUACCCUAAUAGACGUUUGUGCACAUCCGACUUCUGGUCCAUCUAACAGUGUUACUCAGUAUGGCUUAGAUGAAUGUCAAGUUGGCAAUGUUACAGAAGGUUAUAAUGAAGCAGGAUAUGCAAAUUAUGUAGAGAAUGAUGCAAUUAUUGCAUGUGCCCUUCAAGAGGAACUUUCUCGGAUUGCUGCUGCAGAAGCAUCGGGGCUUCAUAAUCCUGGACAAGAAUCGAUUCUUGCACAGGACUGGCUUGCCUUUCCUGGAAGAUGCAAUGGUUCUGAGCACCAGAAUAAUCAUCACAGAGAAAACAAGAUGGAUGCUGAUGAGUGUAGCAAAAAGGAGUCAGAUGAUCCUAACAUUGGAGAAGAAUCUUUUCGUAUAGAAGAUGUGUCACAUUCCUUGGAGAUUGCAGAUGAGUCUACUCUUGAUGGUGAAGUGGGCAAGAGACUAAAUCAGAUGGUUCCUAUUCCUCACGUCCCUAAAAUUAAUGGGGAAUUACCAUCAGAAGAUGAAGAGAUUUCAGAUCAUCAAAGGCUGUUAGAUAGGUUGAAGGUAUAUGAUUUGGUUGAGAAUAAGGUCCAAGGAGAUGGAAACUGUCAGUUUCGUGCCUUAUCAGAUCAACUCUAUCGUUCUGCUGAGCACCAUAAAUUUGUAAGGGAACGAAUUGUUCUUCAGCUCAAGUCUUGCCCACAGAAGUAUGAGGGUUAUGUUCCUAUGGCUUAUGGUGACUAUCUGAAGAAAAUGAACAGUAGGACUGGUGAAUGGGGUGAUCAUGUCACAUUGCAAGCUGCAGCAGACACGAUAAUUAAUGCAUGUCAUCAUGAUCGCAGUAUGGUGUCAAGAUAUUUGUAGUGACUUCAUUUAAGGAUACAUGUUACAUUGAGAUCCUUCCACAAAUUAAGAAGUCGGAGAGAGUUAUUUUCUUGAGCUUUUGGGCAGAGGUUCACUACAAUUCAAUAUAUCCAGAAGGAGAGCUACCUCCAGAAACUAAGAAAAAGAAGAAAUGGUGGAUAAUUUGAAGCUAAAUGCAUUUCGCGGCAAAUCUCUUAUGAGGAGGGAUCUGUAUUAUUCCAUGGCUUGUGCAAUUUGGUGAACUGGGAAAGGAUGAAUAGGGCAGAUGGCAUUAGAGUGCUGUACAUAUCUGAUUUAACGCCCUUCAUCCGAUUGAUUGCAUUUUUUUUUUCAGCCAACUGCUCUAAUUAUUUGUUGAUUCUUUUCUUACCCAUUUGUUUUAUCAUUAUUGUAAAUAAUAGGUCGUAGACAGAUCACUAAUGGAACAAGAAUAAUAGUUGCUUGCA